rnacentral:tRNA from 1 species
AUUUAUAUAGUUUAAAUUAAAACAUUACAUUUUCAAAGUAAAAAAAAAAUUUUUUUUUUAUAAAUA